rnacentral:rRNA from 1 species
GAUGAACGCUGGCGGCGUGCCUAACACAUGCAAGUCGAACGGAGUCGUUUUGGAAAUCUCUUCGGAGAUGGAAUUCUCGACUUAGUGGCGGCCGGGUGAGUAACGCGUGAGCAAUCUGCCUUUAAGAGGGGGAUAACAGUCGGAAACGGCUGCUAAUACCGCAUAAAGCAUUAAAUUCGCAUGUUUUUGAUGCCAAAGGAGCAAUCCGCUUUUAGAUGAGCUCGCGUCUGAUUAGCUAGUUGGCGGGGUAACGGCCCACCAAGGCGACGAUCAGUAGCCGGACUGAGAGGUUGAACGGCCACAUUGGGACUGAGACACGGCCCAGACUCCUACGGGAGGCAGCAGUGGGGAAUAUUGCGCAAAGGGGGAAACCCUGACGCAGCAACGCCGCGUGAUUGAAGAAGGCCUUCGGGUUGUAAAGAUCUUUAAUCAGGGACGAAACAAAUGACGGUACCUGAAGAAUAAGCUCCGGCUAACUACGUG